rnacentral:rRNA from 1 species
AGAGGUUUGAUCCUGGCUCAGAAUCAACGCUGGCGGCGUGCCUCAGACAUGCAAGUCGAACGAUUAAACUUUCCUUCGGGAAAGAUAUAAAGUGGCGCACGGGUGAGUAACACGUAAGUAAUCUACCUUUGAGUGGGGAAUAACCCGGGGAAACCCGAGCUAAUACCGCAUAAUGCAGCGGCACCGCAAGGUGACAGUUGUUAAAGGAGCAAUCCGCUUAAAGAGGAGCUUGCGGCAGAUUAGCUAGUUGGUAAGGUAAUGGCUUACCAAGGCUACGAUCUGUAACCGGUCUAAGAGGACGGUCGGUCACACUGACACUGAAUAACGGGUCAGACUCCUACGGGAGGCAGCAGUCGGGAAUUUUGGGCAAUGGGCGAAAGCCUGACCCAGCAACGCCGCGUGAAGGAUGAAGUAUUUCGGUAUGUAAACUUCGAAAGAAUAGGAAGAAUAAAUGACGGUACUAUUUAUAAGGUCCGGCUAACUACGUGCCAGCAGCCGCGGUAAUACGUAGGGACCAAGCGUUGUUCGGAUUUACUGGGCGUAAAGGGCGCGUAGGCGGCAAUUCAAGUCAUCUGUGAAAUCUCCGGGCUUAACUCGGAACGGUCAGAUGAUACUGCUUUGCUAGAGUGCAGAAGGGGCAAUCGGAAUUCUUGGUGUAGCGGUG